rnacentral:rRNA from 1 species
AACCGACCUGGCUCACACCGGUCUAAACUCAGAUCAUGUAAAAAUUCAAAGGUCGAACAGACCUAAUCUGCCAGCUCCUACACCAACAACAAAUUUUAAUCCAACAUCGAGGUCGCAAUCUUUUUUUUCGAUAAGAACUCUAAAAAAAAUAACGCUGUUAUCCCUAAGGUAAUUCAAUCUUUUAAUCUAUAAUAAGGAUCAAACACCCACAAAUUAGUGUAACAAUACAAAAAAAGUUAAUCUAAUUUUUCAAUCACCCCAACCAAAUAAUUAAACAAAUAAAAAAUUAUAUCAAUCCUAAAAAUUCCUUUCUUCUACAAUUAUAAAACUCUAUAGGGUCUUCUCGUCUUCAAUACAAAUUUAAGCUUUUUAACCUAAAAAUAAAUUUCUAAUUAAUUUAAGCAGAGACAGAAAUUUUUUCAUCAAACCUUUCAUUCAAGCUUCCAAUUAAAAAACUAGUGAUUAUGCUACCUUUGCACAGUCAAUAUACCGCGGCCAUUCAAUCUAUCAUCGGGCAGGCCAGACUUAAAAUCAUAAACAAUAAGCCAUG